UGUAGAAACUGUCGAAAAGAAAAACAGAAACACAAAUGUUUUCUUAGAGUUUUAGGGUUUAUGUUUAGGGUUUUACGGUUUUAGAAUUUUAGGGUUUUUAGGAUUUAGUGUAGAGACCUGGAGUUUUAGCUGAGGCUUGUCGACAGCUCUGGAGAGUGUCGGGACAAGUCCGGGUCGCGUUGGCUCGAAGUGGACGCCAAACGGGCCUUGUGGGAACUUGAGAGCAGCGUGUAUCUUGAAGAUCUGCGAAAUAGCAGAUUUUCAGUGAACUGUACCGGUACAAAGUGGAAGCAGGAUGCA
rnacentral:lncRNA from 1 species